rnacentral:rRNA from 1 species
UCGGAACGUAUCCUUAAGUGGGGGAUAACGCAUCGAAAGAUGCGCUAAUACCGCAUAAUCUCUGAGGAGAAAAGCAGGGGAUCGCAAGACCUUGCGCUUUUGGAGCGGCCGAUGUCUGAUUAGCUAGUUGGUGAGGUAAAGGCUUACCAAGGCUUCGAUCAGUAGCUGGUCUGAGAGGACGACCAGCCACACUGGGACUGAGACACGGCCCAG